rnacentral:rRNA from 1 species
AUUGAACGCUGGCGGCAGGCUUAACACAUGCAAGUCGAGCGGAGCGGCGGACGGGUGAGUAAUGCCUAGGAAUCUGCCUGGUCGCAGGGGAUAACGUCCGGAACCGGGCGGUAAUACCGCAUACUAUCAGAUGUGCCGAUGUCGGAUUAGCUAGUUGGUGGGGUAAAGGCAUCGCAAGGCGAAGAUCCGUAACUGGUCUGAGAGGAUGAUAAGUCACACUGGAACUGAGACACGGUCCAGACUACGACGGGAGGAAGCAGUGGUGGAGAUUGAACAAUGGGCGAAAGCCUGAGGCAGGGACGCAGCGUGGGGGAUGAAGGAUUGUGGGUUGUAAACCUCUUUCGCGAUCGAACGGGUAGUUGGAGAAGAAGCGCCGGCUAACUACGUGCCAGCAGCCGCGGUAAUAC